GACGAACGCUGGCGGCGUGCUUAACACAUGCAAGUCGAACGGAAAGGCCCUGCUUUUGUGGGGUGCUCGAGUGGCGAAAGGGUGAGUAACACGUGAGUAACCUUCCCUUGACUUUGGGAUAACUUCAGGAAACUGGGGCUAAUACCGGAUAGGAGCUCCUGCUUCAUGGUGGGGGUUGGAAAGUUUCGGCGGUUGGGGAUGGACUCGCGGCUUAUCAGCUUGUUGGUGGGGUAGUGGCUUACCAAGGCUUUGACGGGUAGCCGGCCUGAGAGGGUGACCGGCCACAUUGGGACUGAGAUACGGCCCAGACUCCUACGGGAGGCAGCAGUGGGGAAUAUUGCACAAUGGGCGGAAGCCUGAUGCAGCAACGCCGCGUGCGGGAUGACGGCCUUCGGGUUGUAAACCGCUUUCGCCUGUGACGAAGCGUGAGUGACGGUAAUGGGCAAAGAAGCACCGGCUAACUACGUG
rnacentral:rRNA from 1 species